rnacentral:rRNA from 1 species
GAUGAACGCUGGCGGCGUGCCUAAUACAUGCAAGUCGAGCGAACAGACGAGGAGCUUGCUCCUCUGACGUUAGCGGCGGACGGGUGAGUAACACGUGGAUAACCUACCUAUAAGACUGGGAUAACUUCGGGAAACCGGAGCUAAUACCGGAUAAUAUAUUGAACCGCAUGGUUCAAUAGUGAAAGACGGUUUUGCUGUCACUUAUAGAUGGAUCCGCGCCGCAUUAGCUAGUUGGUAAGGUAACGGCUUACCAAGGCGACGAUGCGUAGCCGACCUGAGAGUGUGACCGGCCACACUGGAACUGAGACACGGUCCAGACUCCUACGGGAGGCAGCAGUAGGGAGUAUUCCGCAAGGGGCGAAAGCCUGACGGAGCAACGCCACGUGAGUGAUAAAGGUCUUCGGAUCGUAAAACUCUGUUAUUAGGGAAGAACAAAUGUGUAAGUAACUAAGCACGUCUUGACGGUACCUAAUAAGAAAGCCACGGCUAACUACGUG